rnacentral:lncRNA from 1 species
AUUUUGAAAUCAAAAUGUAAAAGUGCAACAACACAGUCACUUUAGAUGUAACAUCGUACAUAUCCCCAUUUAUAUUAAGGAAAAAACAAGCAAUGAUUAUUUUUUUCAGGAAAAAAAAUAUUGUUAUAAAAUAUUAUUAUAUUCUAAUUUUCUUCUCCGGGCGCUAAUUUUCCUUCUCCGGGCGCUUUUUAGUAGGACCGCUUUGAUAUGCCGAAUCAGAGACAGACAUAUAUACACAUAUGUAUAUAGACAUAUAUACACAUAUGUAUAUAUGUCUCUGGCCGAAUCUAACUGUAUUUAGAUUCCUAAUUUUGAUCCAGUUUUCAAAUUGGUCUUCAUUACAGUC